AUUGAACGCUGGCGGCAGGCCUAACACAUGCAAGUCGAACGAGUGGCGGACGGGUGAGUAAUGUCUGGGAAACUGCCUGAUGGAGGGGGAUAACUACUGGAAACGGUAGCUAAUACAGCAUACCAUCGGAUGUGCCCAGAUGGGAUUAGCUAGUAGGUGGGGUAAAGGCUCACCUAGGCGACGAUCCCUAGCUGGUCUGAGAGGAUGACCAGCCAAACUGGAACUGAGACACGGUCCAUCCUCCGUCGUGAGGUAGCAGUGGGUAAGCUUGCACAAUGGGCGCAAUCCUCAUGGCGCUAUGCCGCGUGGCUGAAGAAGGCCUUCGGGUUGUAUAGUACUUUCAGCUGCUAGGCGUUACCCGCAGAAGAAGCACCGGCUAACUCCGUGCCAGCAGCCGCGGUAAUAC
rnacentral:rRNA from 1 species